rnacentral:pre_miRNA from 14 species
UGAUUACAGCCAGUACUUCAAGACCAUCGAGGACUUGCGCGACAAGAUCCUUGGCGCCACCAUUGAGAACUCCAAGAUAGUCCUACAGAUCGACAAUGCCCGCCUGGCUGCAGAUG